rnacentral:misc_RNA from 1 species
GGUUACUUUCCCCGUCUUUGGGGAAUUUUGAAAUAAAUCACUUUCAGCUUGAUCUUCGCUUUACUGGGACAAAAAUCUCUGUAUCAAUUCAUCAUCAGAACCUCCGGGGAGAUCUUGGAUGUGGCUACGGAGGGUUGGUUCCUUAUAAUCCUCUAGAUUCUUGGGUUGAUUUUUAUCUUGUUUAAGCUCCUUUUAAUGUCAUUUUGAUGGCGAAGCGACCUGAAUCAUCAGUUGGAUACUCUGUUACUAUUCCAACCCCUCAGCAAGGGACUCAGUCACCUAGACCUGACACUGUUUUUAGUCCUCCUCCUUUCCCAUCAUCCUCAGCAGGUCCUAUAUUUCCUCCACCAAUUGUUCAACCAAACCAGAUUCCUUCGCCGUCUAUCAAGACUCCCAAUUUACCAUCACCUGCUAAUGGAGUUAGAACUGGAAGCCCUGCUCCUCAUCUAAGCACCCCACCUGGUCCUCCUGUGUUUUCGUCGCCACUACAACCAGCUGCUGUGCCAUUCAGAACUUCUCCAGCCACCCCUCAGCCUAUUGCGUAUUCCUCUGCUUCAUCUCUGCCCACAUCAUCACCUCCCCAGUUUUCAAAUGGGUCUGUUGAGCUGCAUCACCAAAUUUCUGAUGUUACUGAAGAUUGGACACCUGCUGCAGAAUCUCCAAAUGUUCUAUUCUCGGCUCACAAGGUGUUGAAGCAGAAAAAACUUGCAAAUAUUCCAAGUCUAGGAUUUGGUGCAUUAGUUUCCUCCGGAAGGGAGAUGUCACCUGGUCCGCAAAUGAUACAACGCGAUCCCCAUCGUUGCCAUAAUUGUGGCGCAUAUGCAAAUCUUUAUUGCAACAUUUUACCUGGCUCAGGUCAGUGGCAGUGUGUGAUAUGUCGUAACCUCAAUGGAAGUGAAGGGGACUAUAUAGCUUCCAACAAGGAAGAACUGCGCAAUGUGCCAGAACUAUCAUUACCUUCAGUUGAUUAUGUCCAAACAGGGAACAAGAGGCCUGGUUUCUUUCCAGUGUCCGAUUCCAGAGUGUCGGCACCAGUUGUUCUUGUAAUAGACGAGUGCUUAGAUGAACCUCAUCUCCAGCAUUUUCAGAGCUCCUUGCAUGCAUUUGUGGAUUCUUUGCCUCCAACAACAAGACUGGGGAUUGUCACAUAUGGCAGCACGGUCUCUGUGUAUGAUUUUUCUGAAGAAUCGAUUGCAUCAGCUGAUGUAUUACCUGGUAACAAAUCACCAGACCAAGAGUCUUUGAAGGCAUUGAUUUAUGGGACCGGGAUAUACUUGUCUCCUAUGCACGCAUCUCUUCCUGUUGCACACUCAAUAUUCUCAUCAUUGAGGCCAUACAAACUGGAUAUUCCAGAAGCUUCUAGAGAUCGUUGCUUGGGUACAGCAGUUGAAGUUGCUUCGGCAAUUAUUCAAGGUCCAUCGGCUGAAAUGUCACAGGGUGUUGUUAAAAGGCCUGGUGGGAACAGCAGAAUUAUUGUUUGUGCUGGUGGACCAAAUACAUGUGGCCCUGGAUCGGUUCCUCAUUCUUUCUCACAUCCAAACUAUGCUCAUAUGGAGAAAAUUGCAUUGAAGUGGAUGGAAACCCUAGGUCGUGAGGCAUUCAGGAAAAACACAGUUAUUGACAUAUUAUGUGCAGGCACAUGUCCAGUAAGAGUGCCUGUCCUGCAACCUCUUGCCAAAGCCUCGGGGGGUGUACUUAUUCUCCACGAUGAUUUUGGAGAGGCUUUUGGUGUACUUAUUCUCCACGAUGAUUUUGGAGAGGCUUUUGGUGUAAACUUGCAGAGAGCAUCUGGGAGGGCUGCAGGUUCACAUGGUUUACUUGAGGUCCGCUGUUCUGAGGAUAUUUUUGUUAGUCAAGUUAUAGGCCCUGGUGAAGAGGCGCAUGUGGACAGCAACGAAGUGUUUAAAAAUGAUGAUGCUCUUGUCAUUCAAAUGCUAAGCAUCGAAGAAACACAAAGUUUUGCAUUAUCAAUGGAAACCAAGAGAGACAUUAAGCGUGAUUUUGUGUAUUUCCAGUUUGCAUUUAAGUUUUCUGAUGUCUACCAAUCGGAUAUCACCAGAGUCAUCUCUGUUCGGUUGCCUACUGUGGACAGUGUUUCAUCAUAUCUUCAAAGUAUUCAAGAUGAAGUGGCUGCUGUUCUCAUUGCCAAAAGGACACUUUUGAGAGCCAAGAAUGCCAAUGAUGCACUUGAUAUGCGAGCCACGAUUGAUGAAAGAAUCAAAGAUAUAACAAGCAAGUUUGGUUCUCAAAUGCCCAAAUCAAAGCUCUAUCAGUUCCCGAGGGAGCUCUUGUUGUUGCCCGAAGUCUUAUUCCAUCUUAGAAGGGGGCCACUUCUAGGAAGCAUUCUUGGUCAUGAAGACGAGAGAUCUGUGCUGCGGAACUUGUUUCUGAAUGCAGCAUUUGAUUUGUCCCUCCGAAUGGUGGCUCCUCGCUGUCUGAUGCAUAGACAAGGUGGCACUUUUGAGGAACUACCUGCUUAUAACCUUGCUAUGCAAUCUGAUGCAGCGGUUGUUCUUGAUCAUGGCACUGAUGUCUUCAUUUGGUUGGGCGCGGAACUUGACGCUCAGGAGGGAAAAGGUGCAGCAGCAUUGGCAGCUUGCAGAACUUUAGCUGAAGAGCUCACGGAAAUGCGGUUUCCAGCUCCUCGUAUUCUUGCAUUCAAGGAAGGAAGUUCUCAGGCUCGAUAUUUUGUUUCCCGGCUGAUACCGGCACACAAGGACCCUCCUUAUGAACAGGAAGCAAGAUUCCCACAGCUUCGUACUUUGACUGCAGAACAGAGAACGAAGUUGAAAAGCAGCUUCCUUUACUUUGACGAUCCCAGUUUCUGUGAAUGGAUGCGGAGUUUGAAAGUUUUGCCACCUGAACCAAGUUAAAGACCGUAAGUGAACGUUUAGUGGCAAAUCUUCAAGGAUCGAGUCCUGAGAGUUGCAUUUGGAUGUACAAUCAGGUCCAAUGGCAUAAACACAUAGUUGAGUCGUGGUGACAGAGCCUCUUGUCUCUCGACUUUCUGCAGAUCCCUGGUUAUCAUGCCAGGAAAUGGAACUCUUCCAUUGUGAUCCCUUUCUGUAUGAAGUCUUAAGUGACUGAAUUCUUUUGAAAUAAAAAUUUGCUUUUCUACCUACCCCUCCAACCUUGUGUUAAUUUUUUUUCCAGUUAAGAGAAGCCAAAGGGAUUAUACAUUUUUUGAGUGAUUUGUAAUGACAUAGAACAAGUUUGCAAGUU